GAGUGAUCGAAAGAUGAAAAGCACUUUGAAAAGAGGGUUAAAUAGCACGUGAAAUUGUUGAAAGGGAAGCGCUUGUGACCAGACUUGUGCCGGGCUGAUCAUCCAGUGUUCUCACUGGUGCACUCGACCCGGCUCAGGCCAGCGUCGGUUCUCGUAGGGGGAUAAAAGCUUCGGGAACGUGGCACCUUCGGGUGUGUUAUAGCCCGUUGCUUAAUACCCUUGUGGGGACCGAGGUUCGCGCUCUGCAAGGACGCUGGCAUAAUGGUCAUCAGCGACCC
rnacentral:rRNA from 1 species